rnacentral:lncRNA from 12 species
UGCAAUUGAUUGUGGUCAGGAAUUGGAAUCACGUGGUCCAGAGUCAGCUCAGCAGGGACUGUGGAUAAGUUAUAGGAAUCAGAUGUAGACUUGGCAUCUGCCUACUAAGCUUUGCCAAAGAAUGUAGUUAGAGCUUAAAGAAAUUCUACUUUUGACACAAGAACUGAAAAUGUGUUGACUCCUUUAAUGAAGAUUUCUAGAGCUAAUCAAUGGCUUUUUCCUGUAACACAUCCUUUUCAGGCUUUCACUGGUAGUUCUUUGACAGCCACAUGAUAGGUAUCUAAAUGCUCAUUCACUUUUGGAUACC